rnacentral:rRNA from 1 species
GAAAGCAAAUAAGGGCGCACGGGGGAUGCCUGUGGCUCUCGGAGGCGACGAAGGACGUGAUAAGCUGCGAAAAGCUGCGGUUAGAGGCAAAUACUCUUUGACCCGCAGAUGUCCGAAUGGGGAAACCCGGCAGGAGAGAUCCUGUCACUGCAUCGAAUGAUGCAGGGCGAACGCGGGGAACUGAAACAUCUCAGUACCCGCAGGAAGAGAAAAUAACAAUGAUUCCGCCAGUAGUGGCGAGCGAACGCGGAAUAGCCCAAACCCUGGUGGUUGCGGCCACACAGGGGGUUGUAGGACCGUCGCCGGUGCAUGAGGACAUGGAUAGUGGAACGCGCUGGAAAGCGCGGCCGCAGCGGGUGACAGCCCCUUACACGAAAUCCGUGUCUAUCAGGCCAGACGGCACCUGAGUACCGCGGAACACGAGAAAUUCUGCGGGAAUCUGCGGGGACCAUCCCGUAAGGCUAAAUACUACCGAGAGACCGAUAGUGGACAAGUACCGUGAGGGAAAGGUGAAAAGAACCUCGAGCAGAGGAGUGAAACAGAUCCUGAAACCGUGCGCCUACAAGCGGUUGGAGCACCCUUUGGGUGUGACAGCGUGCCUUUUGCAUAAUGAACCUACGAGUUGCCGUCGCCGGCGAGGUUAAGGGCCAGUAUGCCCGCAGCCGAAGCGAAAGCGAGUCCGAAUAGGGCGCAUAUAGUCAGCGGAGGUGGACGCGAAACCAAGUGAUCUACCCUUGGGCAGGAUGAAGGACGGGUGAAUCCGUCUGGAGGUCCGAACCGAUAAGCGUUGAAAAGCUUACGGAUGAGCUGAGGGUAGGAGUGAAAGGCCAAUCAAACUUGGAGAUAGCUCGUACUCCCCGAAAUGCAUUUAGGUGCAGCCUCGUGCGAAGUCAGCCGGAGGUAGAGCGACCGAUAGGAUGCGAGGGCUUCACCGCCUAUCAAGUCCUGCCGAACUCCGAAUGCCGAGCUGAUGUUUCACGGGAGUGAGGGCAUGGGUGCUAAGGUCCAUGUCCGAGAGAGGAACAACUCAGACCACCGUCUAAGGCCCCCAAAUACGGGCUAAGUUGAAGACAAUAACGAAGUGCGGCCGCAGUGACAGCCAGGAUGUUGGCUUGGAAGCAGCCAUUCAUUUAAAGAGUGCGUAACAGCUCACCGGUCGAGCGGCCGCGCAUGGAUAAUAAUCGGGCAUAAGUUCGUUGCCGAAGACGUGGAAUUGCGAUAUUUGAUCGUAAUUGGUAGGGGAGCAUUCCAGACUGCGUUGAAGAUGAUAAUCGAUUAUCAUUGGAGCGUGUGGAAAAGCAAAUGUAGGUAUAAGUAACGAUAAAGGGGGUGAGAGUCCCCCUCGCCGAAAGACCAAGGUUUCCAGGGCGACGUCAAUCGGACCAGGGUCAGUCGGGACCUAAGUUGAAGUCGAAUGGCGAGAGCGAUGGCAGAAGCGGUUAAUAUUCCGCUACUAGUUAUGCGCGUGAUGUGGAGACGGAGUAGUGACACUGUCGCGCCCUGACGGAAUAGGGCGUUGAAAGGCGUAGGUAUAGGGUUGGCAGGCAAAUCCACCGACCUUGCUGAAACCUGAUAGUACACCAAUACUUCGGAUGGCGGUGAUAGCACAGGUAAUCAGACUCCCGAGAAAAUCCGCUAAGCUUCAGGUCAUAGCUACCCGUACCGUAAACCGACACACGUGGUCGGGUAGAGUAUACUAAGGCGCUCGAGUGAUUCACGGUUAAGGAACUAGGCAAAUUGACCCCGUAACUUCGGGAAAAGGGGUCCCAGCCUCAGGGCGGGGCGCAGAGAAUAGGUCCAGGCAACUGUUUAACAAAAACACAGGGCUGUGCAAAAUCGAAAGAUGAAGUAUACAGCCUGACACCUGCCCGGUGCCGGAAGGUUAAGAGGAGAUGUCAGCGCAAGUGAAGCAUUGAAUUGAAGCCCCGGUAAACGGCGGCCGUAACUAUAACGGUCCUAAGGUAGCGAAAUUCCUUGUCGGGUAAGUUCCGACCUGCACGAAUGGUGUAAUGAUCCGGACACUGUCUCAACCAUGAGCUCGGUGAAAUUGUAGUAUCGGUGAAGAUGCCGAUUACCCGCGAUGGGACGAAAAGACCCCGUGAACCUUUACUACAGCUUAGCAUUGACCUUGGGUGUCCGAUGUGUAGGAUAGGCCGGAGGCUUUGAAGCGGGUACGCCAGUAUUCGUGGAGCCGUCCUUGAAAUACUGCCCUUUGCGCAUCUGGUGUCUAACUCGGAAUAUCGAGGACAUUGCUUGGUGGGUAGUUUGACUGGGGUGGUCGCCUCCAAAAGCGUAACGGAGGCUUCCAAAGGUGCCCUCGGGCCGAUUGGUAACCGGCCUUACAGAGUGCAAUGGCAUAAGGGCGCUUGACUGGGAGGCAGACAUGCCGAGCAGGCAGGAAACUGGGGCAUAGUGAUCCGGCGGAUGUGUAUGGAAACUCCGUCGCUCAAAGGAUAAAAGGUACUCCGGGGAUAACAGGCUGAUCCCCCCCAAGAGCUCAUAUCGACGGGGUGGUUUGGCACCUCGAUGUCGGCUCGUCACAUCCUGGGGCUGGAGAAGGUCCCAAGGGUUGGGCUGUUCGCCCAUUAAAGUGGCACGCGAGCUGGGUUCAGAACGUCGUGAGACAGUUCGGUCUCUAUCUAUCGUGGGCGUUGGAGUUUUGCGUGGUGCUGACACUAGUACGAGAGGACCGUGUUGGACAGACCUCCGGUCUACCAGUUGUGCCGCCAGGGGCACCGCUGGGUAGCUGAGUCUGGAUUGGAUAAGCGCUGAAAGCAUCUAAGUGCGAAGCCAGCCGCAAGAUGAGAACUCCUCACAAGGGUCGUCAUAGACGAUGACGUUGAUAGGGCGCAGGUGUAAAGACGGUGACGUCAAAGCCGAGCGCUACUAAUUGCCCGAAACUUUCCGCC